CCACGGGCCCCGUCCUCGACCUCCUCCGCCUCCUCCGUCAAUAUCCCUAUGCUUAAUCGAUUUGGGAGGACCUUCGAUUAGUCUUUGAAACCCAACCUGAUGGGGAUUGCUUGCACACAAGAUGCUUGGUGAGAUUUCUUGCACACAAGGUGUUUGAUAUAAUGCAUUGGUGAAAACCCAGAGAUGAUUAGUUGUUCAGAAUAAUAGUUUUGAUUUGUCUUAGUGAGUGCAUUCUGUGGUGAGAGAGGAAUAGACAGUUGAAGUUUUUGAUAAUGGAAUGCUCUAUGAAGGAGUGCCUGAAGAUAGAAUGGUGAAGCUUCUUCAGAUUGCAUUGAAGUGCAUAUACAAAUCUGCCGAUGCUCGACCAACUAUGAGCCAACUUGCCGAGAUGAUACAUUCAUUGAAGGAAGAAGAGGAUAGGUCUGUUUUUAUAAUGUCCUAGAAUUUAUGUAUAUGUUCCGUUUGACUAUUAUUAUUUGCUAGUGUAUAUGUGUUGGUCACAUAUGAGGAGGUGGAAAACAUUGUUUAUUUGUUACACUGAUGACAUAGGUGAUAUUAGUCCAAAUGGUA